GUCUACGACUAUACCACCCUGAACGUGCCUGAUCUCAUCUGAUUUCAGAAGCUAAGCAGGGUCGGGCCUGGUUAGUACAUGGAAAGGAGACAGCCUGAGAAUACGGGGUGCUGUAGGCU
ensembl:rRNA 5S_rRNA 5S ribosomal RNA